rnacentral:lncRNA from 1 species
AUAUUCGAUGCUACUAAACUCAACCGCCUCUUCUUUCGAUCAGUAUAUAUAGUUGUAAUAAAGCAUUUCACACUCACAUGCAUCAACUCACUCCAAAAUAUAAUCACCGCUUUAUAUUACUACUCUCUUUCUUUUCUGUCAACCUCAUUUCACAAGAACCCCGCUUAAACCCUCUCCCUUUUUCCACCAUCAUCUUCUUCUUGAAUAAAAAAACCCACAACUCAAUCUAUUCA